AGUUAAAUAAUAUUUACAGUCUCUGUCCUGGGAAGCAGGAAGGUGGAUAUAACAGUUUAGAGAUAAGACACUGUGAAGAAUCUCGUAUUAGCAGCGUAUUUGUUUUAACAGAACAUACUGCCUAGCAUGAAAAGCAGUACAAUCCCUCAUUCUUAUUCCUGUGAUUUUUUUUUUUUUAAUAAGCCUCAGAUGGGAAGAACUAUCAGAAAAGAACAGAUCCAUUACUUAAAAAAACUAGAAUAUUUUAAGUUAUAUUCAAAGAUACUGCAGGAACAGCACUACUCUAAAAGGCAGAAGGAAUACAAUCCACUUUGAAGGCUAUCAGUUUCUACAACACUGAGACACCAGAAAUCGUUUGCAGUCGCCCUUUGGCAUUUUGGGUCUGAAGUGUGACUACUAGAAUUGAAAAGACAGUUGGUACACAACCCAGCUUACUGUUACUUCAGUUCUGCUUAUCAGUAAAGACAUAUCCUAAAGCAACAUCUGCAUUUGUUACUGGAGAUUUCUACUUACACAGCACAGUGCAAUGGAGAGAAGCUAUUACCAUAGAAUUUGUGGAAAAGUUUUUGUUCCAAUAGUACCUCUAUGCAGUUUUCAUGACCUAUAAGAGAUCAGAUAUUUCACAGUGUUGCACAAAGCAGAGGCCACUGCUACCCUGUACGGAGCUCCUCCAGGAACAGCAGAGGAGACACGUUCCCUUUGGCACCUCCAGAUAUUUACCUGACAGGUACAUAUCCAAUAACAACCUUCAAAUAAAUGAUAAAGUCUACAUUUCCCAGUUAAUUAUGCAUGUUACAUAAUUAACACCCCACACAUGAGGAGUGGAGCGGGCUCCCAGCAAGUGCAAGUUCACAAGCUCAGGAGUAGGAGGAGGUCUGAGAGGAGGCGGUGAAUUUCCAUAGUGUUGCCACUGCAAAAGGCUGCAAGUUUUGAACACCAGGAUAAUUUCAUCCCCAGUCAGAGCCUACAUGUAUUUUUCAACCUUUCUUCCAAAGGAGAAACCGUGAGGCAAGUGUUCCCUCUUCCCCUGAUUUUUUGGCUGAGGAACCAUUAAGAGAAGGCAUCACGAGGGAAUCACCAGACAUCUUAAAGUGUAGUUGGUAACAGAGGUAUGGAAAAGGCAAGCAGGUAAAGGCAGAGCAGUAGUGGUGUGGAAAAAUAUGAGAUUCUGUGUGAGGGAGGACUGAACCACGGGGACAGAGAAAAAAAGACCAAUGAAAUGGAAGAUAAAUGGUUUAACUGUAGGACCUCAGAAAACAAGCAUCAGUCCUCAGUGACUCAUGUGAAAAUCUCCUUCCCUUUAGAAGAAAUGUGCACAGUGAUAGUAGGUAGGUAAAGGUAACUGUUUCCACGUGGUAGGGUUUAUACCACAA